rnacentral:rRNA from 1 species
CACCAGACUCCUACGGGAGGCAGCAGUGGGGAAUAUUGCACAAUGGGGGAAACCCUGAUGCAGCGACGCCGCGUGAGUGAUGAAGUAUUUCGGUAUGUAAAGCUCUAUCAGCAGGGAAGAUAAUGACGGUACCUGACUAAGAAGCUCCGGCUAAAUACGUGCCAGCAGCCGCGGUAAUACGUAUGGAGCAAGCGUUAUCCGGAUUUACUGGGUGUAAAGGGAGCGCAGACGGCAGGGCAAGUCUGAUGUGAAAGUCCGGGGCUCAACCCCGGGACUGCAUUGGAAACUGUAUAGCUGGAGUGCAGGAGAGGUAAGUGGAAUUCCUAGUGUAGCGGUGAAAUGCGUAGAUAUUAGGAGGAACACCAGUGGCGAAGGCGGCUUACUGGACUGUAACUGACGUUGAGGCUCGAAAGCGUGGGGAGCAAACAGGAUUAGAUACCCCUGUAA